GACGAACGCUGGCGGCGUGCUUAACACAUGCAAGUCGAACGGAAAGGCCCUGCUUUUGUGGGGUGCUCGAGUGGCGAACGGGUGAGUAACACGUGAGUAACCUGCCCUUGACUUUGGGAUAACUUCAGGAAACUGGGGCUAAUACCGGAUAGGAUCUCCUGCUGCAUGGUGGGGGUUGGAAAGUUUCGGCGGUUGGGGAUGGACUCGCGGCUUAUCAGCUUGUUGGUGGGGUAGUGGCUUACCAAGGCUUUGACUGGUAGCCGGCCUGAGAGGGUGACCGGCCACAUUGGGACUGAGAUACGGACCAGACUGCUACGGGAGGCAGAAGUGGGGAAUAUUGCACAAUGGGCGGAAGCCUGAUGCAGCAACGCCGCGUGCGGGAUGACGGCCUUCGGGUUGUAAACCGCUUUCGCCUGUGACGAAGCGUGAGUGACGGUAAUGGGUAAAGAAGCACCGGCUAACUACGUG
rnacentral:rRNA from 1 species